rnacentral:rRNA from 1 species
GACGAACGCUGGCGGCGUGCCUAACACAUGCAAGUCGAACGGGGUAAUUUCUUCGGAGAUUACUUAGUGGCGAACGGGUGAGUAACGCGUGAGAAACCUGCCUUUCAGUGGGGGACAACAGUUGGAAACGACUGCUAAUACCGCAUAAUGUCAUUUAGGGGCAUCCCUGAAUGACCAAAGAUUUAUUGCUGAAAGAUGGUCUCGCGUCUGAUUAGCUAGUUGGUGAGGUAACGGCUCACCAAGGCGACGAUCAGUAGCCGGUCUGAGAGGAUGAACGGCCACAUUGGGGCUGAGAUACGGCCCAGACUUCUACGGCAGGCAGCAGUGGGGAAUAUUGGGCAAUGGGGAAAACCCUGACCCAGCAACGCCGCGUGAAGGAAGAAGGCCUUCGGGUUGUAAACUUCUUUUACCAGGGACGAACAAAUGACGGUACCUGGAGAAAAAGCAACGGCUAACUACGUGCCAGCCGCCGCCGUAACAC